rnacentral:lncRNA from 1 species
UAAUUUUAAAUCAGUUUUUGGUGCUAAUUUUUUUGGAUAAUUUGUGAUUUCUAGUUUUGAUUUUCUGGGUUUGAUUUUCGGAGGUGGUGGUGGUGAUGGUCGGCGGUGGCGGUGGUGGUCUAGUUUUGAUUUUCAGAGGUGGCGGUGGUGAUGGUCGGCGGUGGCGGUGGUGGUCGGAGAAGAUGAGGAGAGAGAGUUGAGAGUUGAGAGUAAAGUAAAUAAAGCCCCUAAUUAAC